rnacentral:rRNA from 1 species
UGGGGAAUAUUGCACAAUGGGGGAAACCCUGAUGCAGCGACGCCGCGUGAAGGAAGAAGUAUUUCGGUAUGUAAACUUCUAUCAGCAGGGAAGAAGAUGACGGUACCUGACUAAGAAGCCCCGGCUAACUACGUGCCAGCAGCCGCGGUAAUACGUAGGGGGCAAGCGUUAUCCGGAUUUACUGGGUGUAAAGGGAGCGUAGACGGAGCGGCAAGUCUGGAGUGAAAACCCGGGGCUUAACCCUGGGACUGCUUUGGAAACUGUCGUUCUUGAGUGCCGGAGGGGUAAGCGGAAUUCCUAGUGUAGCGGUGAAAUGCGUAGAUAUUAGGAGGAACACCAGUGGCGAAGGCGGCUUACUGGACGGCAACUGACGUUGAGGCUCGAAAGCGUGGGGAGCAAACA